UACGGAGGGGGCUAGCGUUGUUCGGAAUUACUGGGCGUAAAGCGCACGUAGGCGGUUUGGUAAGUCUGAUGUGAAAUCUCCUGAGCUUAACUCAGAACGGCCAAGUGAUACUGCAGUGCUAGAGUGUAGAAGGGGCAAUCGGAAUUCUUGGUGGUAGCGGUGAAAUGCGUAGAUAUCAAGAGGAACACCUGAGGUGAAGACGGGGUUGCUGGUCUAACACUGACGCUGGAGGCGACGAAAGCUAGGGGAGCAAACGGG
rnacentral:rRNA from 1 species